GCAUGCGGGUAGCGUGGCCGAGCGGUCUA
rnacentral:piRNA from 1 species